rnacentral:tRNA from 2 species
UAGAUUGAAGCCAGUUGAUUAGGGUAUUUAGCUGUUAACUAAAUUUUUGUGGGUUUGAAUUCCACCGAUCUAG